rnacentral:rRNA from 1 species
GUGGGGUAAUUUUUCCGCAAUGGGCGAAAGCCUGACGGAGCAAUGCCGCGUGGAGGUGGAAGGCCUACGGGUCGUCAACUUCUUUUCUCGGAGAAGAAACAAUGACGGUAUCUGAGGAAUAAGCAUCGGCUAACUCUGUUCCAG